GCAAUGCCGCGUGUGUGAAGAAGGCCUUCGGGUUGUAAAGCACUUUUGUUAGGGAGGAAAGUCUGGUAGCUAAUAACUGCUAGAUCUGACGUUACCUAAAGAAUCAGCACCGGCUAACUCUGUGCCAGCAGCCGCGGUAAUACAGAGGGUGCAAGCGUUAAUCGGAAUUACUGGGCGUAAAGGGUCUGUAGGCGGAUUAUUAAGUCGGAUGUGAAAUCCCCGGGCUCAACCUGGGAACGGCAUUCGAUACUGGUAGUCUAGAGUGUGCAAGAGGAUGGGGGAAUUCCUGGUGUAGCAGUGAAAUGCGUAGAGAUCAGGAGGAACAUCAAUGGCGAAGGCACCUUUCUGGGGCAACACUGACGCUGAGAGACGAAAGCGUGGGGAGCAAACAGGAUUAGAUACCCUGGUAGUCCACGCCCUAAACGAUGUCAACUAACUGUUCGGAGUCACUAAGAUUCUGAGUAGUGAAGCUAACGCGAUAAGUUGACCGCCUGGGGAGUACGGCCGCAAGGUUGAAACUCAAAGAAAUUGACGGGGGCCCGCACAAGCGGUGGAGUAUGUGGUUUAAUUCGAUGCAACGCGAAGAACCUUACCCGGUCUUGACAUGGUAGGAAUCUUGUAGAGAUACGAGAGUGCCUUCGGGAACCUACACACAGGUGCUG
rnacentral:rRNA from 1 species